rnacentral:rRNA from 1 species
CAGUAGCCACGGGAAUGCGAAGGGGGCUAGCGUUGCUCGGAAUGACUGGGCGUAAAGGGCGCGUAGGCGGAUUGUUUAGUUAGGCGUGGAAUUCCUGGGCUUAACCGGGGACUGCGCUUAAUACAGGCAGUCUAGAGUGAGGAAGAGGGUUGUGGAAUUCCCAGUGUAGAGGUGAAAUUCGUAGAUAUUGGGAAGAACACCGGUGGCGAAGGCGGCAACCUGGUCCUUGACUGACGCUGAGGCGCGAAAGCGUGGGGAGCAAACAGGAUUAGAGACCCGUGUAGUCCCUGUCUCUUAUACA